rnacentral:rRNA from 1 species
CGAGGGGUGCAAGCGUUGCUCGGAAUUAGUUGGGCGUAAAGGGUAGGUAGGUGGUCUUAUUUGUCUGGGGUGAAAGCCUUGAGCUUAACUCAAGAAGUGCCCCAGAACGGUAAGACUCGAGUCCUGGAGAGGGUCGUGGAAUUCCCGGUGUAGCGGUGAAAUGCGUAGAGAUCGGGAGGAACACCAGAGGCGAAAGCGGCGACCUGGACAGGCACUGACACUCAACUACGAAAGCGUGGGGAGCAAACAGGAUUAGAUACCCUGGUAGUCCACGCUGUAAACGAUGGGUACUAGGUUUGGUGGGUCUUGACCCCCGCCGAACCGGCGCUAACGCACUAAGUACCCCGCCUGGGAAGUACGGUCGCAAGACUA